rnacentral:rRNA from 1 species
UACGUAGGUGGCAAGCGUUGUCCGGAUUUACUGGGCGUAAAGGAUGCGUAGGCGGAUGUUUAAGUGCGAUGUGAAAUACCCGAGCUCAACUUGGGGGCUGCAUUUCAAACUGGAUAUCUAGAGUGCAGGAGAGGAAAGCGGAAUUCCUAGUGUAGCGGUGAAAUGCGUAGAGAUUAGGAAGAACACCAGUGGCGAAGGCGGCUUUCUGGACUGUAACUGACGCUGAGGCAUGAAAGCGUGGGGAGCAAACAGG